rnacentral:tRNA from 1 species
CUCUCGGUAGCCAAGUUGGUUUAAGGCGCAAGACUGUAAUUYACCAACUACGAAAUCUUGAGAUCGGGCGUUCGACUCGCCCCCGGGAGA